GUCGACGAUUUGGCGGACGGGUGAGUAACACGUGGGAACGUACCCUUUGCUACGGAAUAGUCUCGGGAAACUGGGGGUAAUACCGUACGUGCCCUUCGGGGGAAAGAUUUAUCGGCAAAGGAUCGGCCCGCGUUGGAUUAGGUAGUUGGUGGGGUAAUGGCCUACCAAGCCGACGAUCCAUAGCUGGUUUGAGAGGAUGAUCAGCCACACUGGGACUAAGACACGGCCCAGACUCCUACGGGAGGCAGCAGUGGGGAAUCUUAGACAAUGGGCGCAAGCCUGAUCUAGCCAUGCCGCGUGAGCGAUGAAGGCCUUAGGGUUGUAAAGCUCUUUCAGUGGGGAAGAUAAUGACUGUACCCACAGAAGAAGCCCCGGCUAACUCCGUGCCAGCAGCCGCGGUAAUAAUCUCUAGA
rnacentral:rRNA from 1 species